UGUUCCCCUCUCGUCUCGCUCUUCCGGCUUCUUCCUCUAGUCUCUCUCUUUCUGUUCUCCCUUGGCUUUCUCUCUAUCCUUCUUCUCUGAAUCUCCCUCUUAGUUCUAGUUUAUGUUAUUGUAAUGAUUGACUCUUUGAGUUCAUGAAUUAAAUCUGUCAUUUCCCUCGUUUACUUGUGUUGUGAAUUUGGGCAAAUUUAAUUGUUAUCCAAUUUUGGUGGUAAACGGAUUCUUUGUUUAAAAUUUAAAAAUAUCAUGGGGCUUAAACCUUGUGAGGCUGUGGCUUGGGGUUUACACACAAUACCAUGGCAAGAUAUGUUUUUACCUGCGCUUAAUUCUCUCUUGAAAUACAAUGAUAUUAAAGAGACGUUCUCGCAAUUUAACGAAUCAUAAGGUGCAGAAAUGUAAUUACAGAAAGUAAAGCCUAAUACGUUUUUCCAAUCCCAAAGUAUCGUAGUCAGAAGGUAAUGGACGCGAAAUUCAGCGGAAACGCGAGCAAACAGGUGUGUUUUUUUUUUUUAAUUUUUAAAUUCCCCUUCCUUUUGAUUUCCUUUGCUUGAGUUAUUGCUCAUUUGAUGACUAAAACUCAAGACCCUGAAAUUGUAGGUAGAGAAUGCCGAUCAUCUGAGCGAGCCCUUCUUGUCGCAACCAGGUGUGAUCGCUUGACUAAUUAAUCAAAAGAGCUAUAUGCUAUCACUGAGGGGAAAAUAGUGGUUUUCGUUUUGCCAAGUUCGGAGAAAUCAUAGUGUAAAAUUUAGCAGGG
rnacentral:lncRNA from 1 species